AGAGUUUGAUCAUGGCUCAGAAUGAAACAUGGCGGCGUGGAUUAGGCAUGCAAGUCGCACGAGAAGCUCUUUUUGCUUGCAUUAGGAGCGGACAGUGGCGAAAGGGAGAGUAACGCGUGGAUACUUACCCCGGGGUCUGGGAUAGCUGAGGGAAACUUCAGGUAAUACCGGAUAACGUUUCCGAACCAAAGGUGUGAUUCCGCCUUGGGAUAGGUCCGCGUCCUACUAGCUUGUUGGUGAGGUAAUGGCUCACCAAGGCCAAGAUGGGUAGCGGGUGUGAGAGCAUGGCCCGUCUCACUGGGACUGAGACACUGCCCAGACACCUACGGGUGGCUGCAGUCGAGAAUCUUCCGCAAUGGGCGAAAGCCUGACGGAGCGAUGCCGCGUGCGGGAUGCAGGCCCUCGGGUUGUAAACCGCUGUCAGUUGGGAGGAAAUGCAUAGGGGCACUCUCCUAUGUUUGACCGAUCUUCAGAGGAAGUCCGGGCUAAGUUCGUGCCAGCAGCCGCGGUAAGACGAACCGGACGAACGUUAUUCGGAAUCACUGGGCUUAAAGGGUACGUAGGCGGCUUCGUAGGUUGGGUGUGAAAUCCCACGGCUCAACCGUGGAACUGCGCUCAAAACCACGAGGCUUGAGGGAAGCAGAGGUAAGCGGAACUGAUGGUGGAGCGGUGAAAUGCGUUGAUAUCAUCAGGAACACCAGUGGCGAAGGCGGCUUACUGGGCUUCUUCUGACGCUGAGGUACGAAAGCUAGGGUAGCGAACGGGAUUAGAUACCCCGGUAGUCCUAGCUGUAAACGAUGAGCACUUGGUCGAGGGGACCUCCACAUCUUCUCGGCCGUAGCGAAAGCGUUAAGUGCUCCGCCUGGGGAGUAUGGUC
rnacentral:rRNA from 1 species